UGGUGGAGUGAUUUGUCUGGUUGAUUCCGUUAACGAACGAGACCUCGGCUUACUAAAUAGAGUUGCUUUUCUCACGAAAGGUAAAUCUUCUUAGAAGGACAUUUCGGUUUUACCGGAAGGAAGUUCGAGGCAAUAACA
rnacentral:rRNA from 1 species